rnacentral:SRP_RNA from 1 species
GCCGGGCGUGGUGGUGCACGCCUGUAAUCUCAGCUACUUAGGAGGCUGAGGCAGGAGAAUCGCUUGAACCCAGGAGGUGGAGGUUGCAAUGAGCUGAGAUUGUACCACUGCACUCCAGCCUGGGUGACAGAGCGAGACUCCGUCUCAA